rnacentral:rRNA from 1 species
AGUGAACGCUGGCGGUAGGCCUAACACAUGCAAGUCGAACGGCAGCACAGUAAGAGCUUGCUCUUACGAGUGGCGAGUGGCGGACGGGUGAGGAAUACAUCGGAAUCUACUUUUUCGUGGGGGAUAACGUAGGGAAACUUACGCUAAUACCGCAUACGACCUACGGGUGAAAGCAGGGGAUCUUCGGACCUUGUGCGAUUGAAUGAGCCGAUGUCGGAUUAGCUAGUUGGCGGGGUAAAGGCCCACCAAGGCGACGAUCCGUAGCUGGUCUGAGAGGAUGAUCAGCCACACUGGAACUGAGACACGGUCCAGACUCCUACGGGAGGCAGCAGUGGGGAAUAUUGGACAAUGGGCGCAAGCCUGAUCCAGCCAUACCGCGUGGGUGAAGAAGGCCUUCGGGUUGUAAAGCCCUUUUGUUGGGAAAGAAAAGCAGCAGGUUAAUACCCCGCUGUUCUGACGGUACCCAAAGAAUAAGCACCGGCUAACUUCGUG